AUAUAGCAUAACUCCUUUAGCUUUUUCUCCUCCUUUUUAGCCAAAAGAGACCAAAGAGACAAAAUAAAUGUCUAUUAGUCAAACAGAAUGUCACACAGAAUGUCAGAGCAGAUUGUUAAGUGUUACAGAUCCAGGAACAAACACAACUUUAUACAAGCUGAGAUAAAAUCCAGAAAAUAAAAAAAAAUAGAAAAAUAUAUCAAGGUAGCAGAACAUGACUGCCAAAAGAACCACCAGAACAUCCAUCACAGCACACCAUCAGAAGAG
rnacentral:lncRNA from 1 species